CUCGUGACAUCAAAUAUAAGUCAGAUCCCAACCAAAAUGGCCUCCAUUCUCAGCAUCAGAGCUCCAUCGCUGGUUUCACCCGCCAUAGUACGGCGCCGUUUGCCUCUGGUCGUGUUUUUUUCGUCGUCAGUGUAGGAUUUUCCAAUCUCUGCCCAGCUCUUCCCUCUCCCUUUUAUCUCAAAACAGGCAGCGCUCAGUCUCUCCCCUGUUCCCCUCUUAAGUUUAGUGCCCAAUCAGCAGAUAAGACCAUCCACGCCGUGAAAAUGGAAGCGAAUAGCGACACCGUUCCAAGCAUCGUCGUUUAUUACCGUUCCUAACAGAGAAGCAGGUAGGAAGUUAGCUGGAAGCAUUGUCAAAGAGAAACUUGCAGCAUGUGUAAAUAUAGUCCCAGGUAUCGAAUCAGUAUGAAUGGGAGGGAAAGAUCAACUCCGAUCCCGAGGAACUGCUCAUAAUCAAGACAAGGCAAUCUCUUCUCGAAGCUCUGACAGAGCAUGUCAAGGCAAAUCAUGAAUAUGAUGUACCAGAAGUAAUUGCAUUGCCCAUCACUGGUGGCAGCCCACAGUAUCUAAACUGGCUCAAGAACAGUACAAAGGAUUGAGUUUCUCAGAGGUGGUAUUGCUGGAAUGCUUGAAACCAUUAAGUAGUGUUUCCUUUAAGAUGCCAAAUCUCAUAUAUGGUUUGCAUGGAUAGAUGCCAUUAGGACACUAGAAUAAAGGUGGCAUGUCAUGCAUACAAUAUGAAAACUCAAAAUCGAGUUGUGAUAGGAAAAAUCGUUUUAGAGUAAGUUGCUUUGGAAGUAAGACAUGAGAUUCGAUUCGAUAAAUACAGGCACAGCUCGUUUCAA